rnacentral:piRNA from 1 species
UGAGAGCCUACCUGGAGGGCACGUGC